UCGAUCGAACUCCUCGAUGCAAAUUCGGAGUGUUGGACCACCAGCAUCGAGUCCCACAUCCCUCAAGGAAAACAAAACAAAACAUGAGUAAUUCAGGUUUAUCAGCCAAUUCAUCACCAACACCAAGAAUUCCAGAAUCCGAGAGUCCCCAAUCAUCCAACGUAAAUAAAUUCAUGACUAAAAUAAAAUUAAGCCUCGAGGCAGAAAGCAAGAUCGAACGUUCCAAUCGAGAACUUCACCUGAAGCGCGUGCAGAACUUGAGAAAGCAGUUGGAAUACUUGAAAAGCACAGAAUGGAAAUAUCAAACUGUGGAUAGAAAUUUGGAUUAUGGUCACAGGAACUAGCUACAGUAAUUAGAUCCUCUGAAUUUGUUAAUAAAAUUACUUAUAACUUUCCAAUAAAAUUAAGUUACCAAAAACUUGACUGAUGUUAGAGAAAUAUAGUUCAAGUCUUUGCUGUGAUAAAAAUACAAUAUAAAUGCA